rnacentral:rRNA from 1 species
GUCGCACCUACCGAUUGGAUGGUCCGGUGAAGCCUCGGGAUUGUGACCGGUGCCUUUAUUGGUGUCGGUCGCGAGAACUUGUCUAAACCUUAUCAUCUAGAGGAAGGUG